AUUGAACGCUGGCGGCAGGCCUAACACAUGCAAGUCGAGCGAGCGGCGGACGGGUGAGUAAUGUCUGGGAAACUGCCUGAUGGAGGGGGAUAACUACUGGAAAAGGUAGCUAAUACCGCAUACCAUCAGAUGUGCCCAGAUGGGAUUAGCUAGUGGGUGGGGUAACGGCUCACCUAGGCGACGAUCCCUAGCUGGUCUGAGAGGAUGACCAGCCAGACUGGAACAUGGACACGGUCCAGACUCCAACGGGAGGCAGCAGUGGGGAAUAUUGCACAAUGGGCGCAAGCCAGAAGCAGCCAUGCCGCGUAUGUGAAGAAGGCCUUCAGGUUGUAAAGCACUUUCAGCGGGGAGGCGUUACCCGCAGGAGAAGCACCGGCUAACUCCGUGCCAGCAGCCGCGGUAAUUC
rnacentral:rRNA from 1 species